rnacentral:misc_RNA from 1 species
UCCGGUUUGACACCGGCAGUCUCCCUAGAGUGCCCGGCAUAACCCGCUGGUAACUAGGGACGAGGGUUGCGCUCGUUGCGGGACUUAACCCAACAUCUCACGACACGAGCUGACGACAGCCAUGCAGCACCUGUGCUAGCGUCCCGAAGGAGGGCCCCUGUUUCCAGGGGCUUUCACUAGCAUGUCAAGCCUAGGUAAGGUUCUUCGCGUUGCGUCGAAUUAAACCACAUGCUCCGCUGCUUGUGCGGGCCCCCGUCAAUUCCUUUGAGUUUAGCCUUGCGGCCGUACUCCCCAGGCGGGGCACUUAAUGCGUUAGCUUCGGCACGGGGGGAGUCGACACCCCCCACACCUAGUGCCCAUCGUUUACGGCGUGGACUAC